CCUACGGGGGGCAGCAGUGAGGAAUAUUGGUCAAUGGGCGCGAGCCUGAACCAGCCAAGUAGCGUGAAGGAUGACUGCCCUACGGGUUGUAAACUUCUUUUAUAAAGGAAUAAGGUGAGGCACGUGUGCCUUUUUGUAUGUACUUUAUGAAUAAGGAUCGGCUAACUCCGUGCCAGCAGCCGCGGUAAUACGGAGGAUCCGAGCGUUAGCCGGAUUUAUUGGGUUUAAAGGGAGCGUAGAUGGGUUGUUAAGUCAGUUGUGAAAGUUUACGGCUCAACCGUAAAAUUGCAAUUGAUACUGGCAGCCUUGAGUACAGGUGAGGAAGGCGGAAUUCGUGGUGUAGCGGUGAAAUGCUUAGAUAUCACGAAGAACUCCGAUGGCGAAGGCAGCCUACUAAACUGCCACUGACAUUGAGGCGCGAAAGUGUGGGUAUCAAACAGGAUUAGAUACCCGAGUAGUC
rnacentral:rRNA from 1 species